CCUACGGGAGGCUGCAGUAAGGAAUAUUGGUCAAUGGACGCAAGUCUGAACCAGCCAUGCCGCGUGGAGGAUGAAGGUCCUCUGGAUUGUAAACUUCUUUUAUCUGGGACGAAACACUUCUUUUCUAAGAGGCCUGACGGUACCAGAUGAAUAAGCACCGGCUAACUCCGUGCCAGCAGCCGCGGUAAUACGGAGGGUGCAAGCGUUAUCCGGAUUCACUGGGUUUAAAGGGUGCGUAGGUGGGUAUGUAAGUCAGAGGUGAAAUCCCCGAGCUUAACUUGGGAACUGCCUUUGAUACUAUAUAUCUUGAAUGCCGUAGAGGUAAGCGGAAUAUGUCAUGUAGCGGUGAAAUGCUUAGAUAUGACAUGGAACACCAAUUGCGAAGGCAGCUUACUAUGCGGUUAUUGACACUGAGGCACGAAAGCGUGGGUAGCAAACAG
rnacentral:rRNA from 1 species